rnacentral:rRNA from 1 species
AUAUCAGUCAUGCAUAGCAUAUCAAUAAGCGGAGGAAAAGAAACUAACAAGGAUUCCCUUAGUAACGGCGAGUGAAGCGGGAAGAGCUCAAAUUUGAAAUCUUCAAGGUUUUACCUUGACGAAUUGUAGUUUAAAGAAGUGUUUUCUGUUGAAGUUUUGGUAAAAGUUCUUUGGGAUAGGACAUCAUAGAGGGUGAGAAUCCCGUAUUUGACCAUUACUUUCAGCUUUGUGAUACACUUUCAAAGAGUCGGAUUGUUUGGGAAUGCAGUCCAAAAUGGGUGGUAAAUUUCAUCUAAAGCUAAAUAUUGGCGAGAGACCGAUAGCGAACAAGUACCGUGAGGGAAAGAUGAAAAGAACUUUGAAAAGAGAGUUAAACAGUACGUGAAAUUGUCAAAAGGGAAGCGUUUGACACCAGUGUUGUUUUCUCGAAAAUCAAUUAAAAAGAGUUGGAUUUUGUGUUGUAUUGACUUUAUCAGCUUUCUCCACUCUUUUCCAGCUUUUUUUAAUGCACUUUUCGUUUAACAAGUCAACAUCAGUUUCUUUUGUUGUAAAAAGGUCAUUGGAAGGUGGCUUUCUCUUCGGAGAAAGUGUUUAUAGCCUUUGACUCAUGCAAUCAGGAGAGACUGAGGUCUGCAGCGUAGAUCCUUCGGGGUUAGAUACAUUUGUGCUAAGUUAUAGCUUUUCAUAGACAACUUGUUGACUAUGUUUAGUCUUGUAGCUUACUCGCUUAUGCUAUUUUACCUACGCUUAGGAUGUUGAACUCUAUCACACACAG